rnacentral:rRNA from 1 species
GCUGGCGGCGUGCCUAAUACAUGCAAGUCGAGCGAACAGACAAGGAGCUUGCUCCUUUGACGUUAGCGGCGGACGGGUGAGUAACACGUGGGUAACCUACCUAUAAGACUGGGAUAACUUCGGGAAACCGGAGCUAAUACCGGAUAAUAUUUCGAACCGCAUGGUUCGAUAGUGAAAGAUGGUUUUGCUAUCACUUAUAGAUGGACCCGCGCCGUAUUAGCUAGUUGGUAAGGUAACGGCUUACCAAGGCGACGAUACGUAGCCGACCUGAGAGGGUGAUCGGCCACACUGGAACUGAGACACGGUCCAGACUCCUACGGGAGGCAGCAGUAGGGAAUCUUCCGCAAUGGGCGAAAGCCUGACGGAGCAACGCCGCGUGAGUGAUGAAGGUCUUCGGAUCGUAAAACUCUGUUAUUAGGGAAGAACAUACGUGUAAGUAACUAUGCACGUC